rnacentral:lncRNA from 1 species
AGAGCUUCUGACUUGAGCAGUCCAGGAGGGCCGGCCUCGGUGGUUGCUGAAGCCCCCAGGUGAUUCUCAUGAGCGGCCAGAGCUGAGAGCCACUACUCUAAGCAAGCUCCAUCAGCAGGCAUCGCCAGCACCCUCCCAGCUGGUUUCCAGAGGGCCUGACCUGUGCCAGAGCUGCCAACCCCUUGGAGGAGGUGACAGGGGACAUCUGGCAGGUGCAGAGAUGGAGAAACCAGAACCCACCUGUUCUCUGGGAGCCCAAGCAAGGGACGCAAGGGAACCAGCUACAGAAUAAUUAUAAUGCCUCCCAAGCUCAACGAUUCCCAAGGUGUGGAGGGCACACGUGUGUAAAAUGGGAAGUGGUAUUGGAGCACAUGUGGACAUGGCAUAAAUAACACUGAAUCACAAAGGACAGAGUCACGCCCUUUUCAAUGAUCUUUUAACCCUUCAGAUAAAGCACAGAGAAUGUCUCAGUUUGGUGCUAACAGGUCUUUAACACCUUUCUUGAAUCCCACCUCCUCUAAAAGGAAAAAAGAAGAUAGAGACCCAAGUCUCCAGCUGUAAUAAUAUUGAGCCAGAAAUUGGAAACAUUGCUUUCAUUGUAUUUAUUUUACAGUUGGCUUCUAAUUGACUAGUCUCACGAAUUUUUUCCGUUUACUAUUGUGACUUAAAGUUUACUUUUAAAAUAAACAUAUUUUAAGUUUUUAAAAAGUGUGUUCAUUUGAAGGAAAAGAUUAAGUAAAUAGGAGAGCAGGUGGCCAGCAGACGUGGCAGAAAUCGUGCAGGUGGCAUCCACACGGC